CCCAGACUCCUACGGGAGGCAGCAGUGGGAGAUAUUGCACAAUGGGGGGAACCCUGAUGCAGCGACGCCGCGUGGGUGAAGGAGCGUUUCGGCGCGUAAAGCCCUAUCGGCAGGGAAGAAGGAGGACGGUACCUGACUAAGGAGCCCCGGCUAACUACGUGCCAGCAGCCGCGGUAAUACGUAGGGGGCAAGCGUUAUCCGGAUUUACUGGGUGUAAAGGGGGCGCAGACGGCAGCGCAAGCCAGGAGUGAAAGCCCGGGGCCCAACCCCGGGACUGCUCUUGGAACUGCGCGGCUGGAGUGCAGGAGGGGCAGGCGGAAUUCCUGGUGUAGCGGUGAAAUGCGUAGAUAUCAGGAGGAACACCGGUGGCGAAGGCGGCCUGCUGGACUGCGACUGACGUUGAGGCCCGAAAGCGUGGGGAGCAAACAGGAUUAGAUACCCCCGUACU
rnacentral:rRNA from 1 species